AUUGAACGCUGGCGGCAGGCCUAACACAUGCAAGUCGAGCGGUAACAGAACUAGCUUGCUAGUUGCUGACGAGCGGCGGACGGGUGAGUAACGCGUAGGAAUCUACCCAGUAGCGGGGGAUAGCCCAGAGAAAUUUGGAUUAAUACCGCAUACGCCCUUCGGGGGAAAGCAGGGGAUCUUCGGACCUUGUGCUAUUGGAUGAGCCUGCGUGAGAUUAGCUUGUUGGUGAGGUAAGAGCUCACCAAGGCGACGAUCUCUAGCUGGUCUGAGAGGAUGAUCAGCCACACUGGAACUGAGACACGGUCCAGACUCCUACGGGAGGCAGCAGUGGGGAAUAUUGCACAAUGGGCGCAAGCCUGAUGCAGCCAUGCCGCGUGUGUGAAGAAGGCCUUAGGGUUGUAAAGCACUUUCAGCAGUGAGGAAAGGUGAGUAGCUAAUAACUGCUUACUGUGACGUUAACUGCAAAAGAAGGACCGGCUAACUCCG
rnacentral:rRNA from 1 species